rnacentral:lncRNA from 1 species
GGUUAUUUGUGCAAUUAUGUGUUAUGUGUUUAUCUGCCUAUGUGGUAUGUAUAUGCGAAGGGUAGAUAUAUAUAGGUCUUAAUACUUUUCAGAGUUAGUUAAUUUGUCUGAUCCGACGGUUAAAAUACUAUUUUACUAUCGUAUAGAAUUGAAGACAUUGACCGAGGCAUUGAUCGAGAAGUGAUUGAAAUGGGUAUCCAGAAUUAGCCAAGUAGUGUUGCAAGUUGAAGUAGGGCGGAGAUUUGUUAUAGAUAAAAGCUUGUCAGAAGCUGGCAGAAAGGAAUGAUAUGGCGGUAUAUAGUAUUAUUAGAAAUCUGACCUAGACACCGGAGUUAAGGCAAGUACUUCUACCUUUCUCUCGCAAUUUAGAAGCAAGUAUUUCUACCCUACUCCUCUAGUACCUAUAGAUACUAAAACCUUCUUUAUAUCAUGAUUCAAAUUAUUUGCAAUUACUUUCUUGUGAAGCAUAUCUAGUACUUUUAAACCUUUUGGUUGAACGGAUAACACUUUUGGUAUCGACUCUACACUAUGAUAUGCAUAAAGAAAUUGUUUUAACAAAAUGUUGUUCUGGCUCUUGAAUUACAUGAUAGAACUGCAGAUUGUUUUAAAAAUUAAACUGUUAGGUUGUUUUUGCGUAAGAGGCUCGGGCACCGGCCCAGCGUGAAAGGUGGCUCCUUAAGCCCGGAUUACCGGAAUUCGUAAUAUUUGUCAACCUUGCUGAAUAAGCUUGGUUUAUGGACUAUAGCAUGACUGAUCAUCUGUUAUAGCCAGGUGUCCAAUUAUUUUUAAAGCCCAAUAAAAUUGUGAAUAGUUUAAAAAGAAGUUACCCUGCCUUCAAGAGAUAUUUGCUUAUACAUUCAUUUCUGCAGUUUUAAAUAUUUUCACUUCUUUAUUAUGGCAUUGCUGUACAACAAAUAUCAAUUUCAUUUUGUUAUUCUUGCUGAGCAUUAUUGCUCAUUCUUGCUAUUCCUUCUAACCCUUUUCAGCUAGGAAUAAAGAUGAUUCACUUAAGACUAGGCAAGGAUUGCAAGUGGUUGAGUUUCAAGCAGAUGGACAGGUAGAGUAUUUAGGACGAUGUCAUUAAGACUAGAUGCAGUUGGAGUUCUGCAAUUCAAUUCAGUUGGAAAUUAGAUUUGUUUAUUUGGUUAUCAGCUACUCUUCUUAUCGAGGUUUAGCUGAUAAUGUUGUUUAAUUUGUAAAUAAGAUUUUAUAGUUUUAGUUUCUGAUUUCAAUGCUGUAGCCUGUAUGCGAUCCUGUUUUCAGGGGGUGAAAUUGAUUUUGAAUUAAAGACCUUCUUUUAAAAAAAUAAUAUAUCCAGGUUUAGAAAUACUUGUUUUUACUUUCUUCCAAAAAUACAGGUUUUAAAUUGUUUUUCUUUUAAUGGCUCAAAACUACAGGUUUUAAAUUAUUUUUAUUUACACGUGGCACCAGAUCUAGACCCCCGGAUUUGAGGGAUGUCACAGUUGGUAUCAGAGCUACAGGUUAUAAGUUAUUGAAAUCAGAAUGUAGGUUGUAACUUGUCUAAUAAGAUAGACACGUUAAGUGAAACCUCACAUAUAGGUAAGUUCAGAUUAGUGGUGUAACCUCAUAUAGAGGUAUCGUAAGACUAUUUGGGGAUAGUCCUUUUGAGCAUAAUAAAAUGAAGCUAAACGAUUAUGUUUAAGUGAUUAUGGUUAUAGACACAACAAUUCCUAAUUCUAGUUCUUCCAGUCCCUAGUGGCCUAGUUUAUUGACCAAUUCAGAUUUAUAUCAUUGUAAGAGGGUCAAAGUUAGACCUAUCAACAGAACCUUCAAGCUAGAACCAGUAGAGAUUCUCACACAGUCUAAUGUAUCCUUUAUAGUAUCUUCCAAGUGUUGAGUAUUAUUUGAAGAGUCACCUUUUGAUUCUUGUCAGAGAUAUCUAGAAUUGGUGAAAGAAUAGAGGUGUUAACAAGUCCGAGUUUACAGCUUUGUAUAUAGUUAAGUAGUGAGCGUUAGAGCUACGUAGAGUUCGUGUUAGAUUAUUCGAUCUAGUACUUAUGUGUGAGUUAAGACGUCAACGCUCUAUGGUGAUGAUUGUAUAAAGUUGGAUAAGACUUUUGACCGACAACGAUAUCAAUGAUGGGAUCUUCAGAGGCUAUUACUAGUCAACGAUAAUAUAUGCAAGUGGUCACUAAAACGUCAAGAAGAAUCACUAGAAUCAGAACGAGUCAUCAAAAGAAUCGAUCAAGAAGACAUCUGUGAGAAUCCUGGCAAUACCUUCCUCAUUGUUGAUAUAUUGAUUUCUUUCCCCAUCAAUGAUUUGUUCUGACAUCACUUAAAAAAAAAAAUAUUUGAUAAAGAGUAUAUUUUUACCUUUCACUCGAGUUCUCGAAUGAUACUUGUGCUUACUGUCAGACCUAUAGAAUCUAUUCAAUCUUGGUAAUUUCGAACCCUUUCAUAUUCUCUACUCUAACUGAGAUGAACAACCCUACCUAUAGGGGACACAAGGACUACCUGUCUGUGUGAUAGGAGUUGGAUGGGACGCCAUCACUUGUGUGUGUUGUACAUUACAAGAAGGUUAACUACCUUUAGUAGUGUCUUAAAUUAGACACGCAACACCGAGUUCUAUAGACCAUAUUGAUCUCUCAGUUAUUCAUUUAUUUCAAUCACGUAACACUUGCUCCAAUAUGUGAAAUCUGUCAUAUCUUUUACCUUCAAGAUUCUUCUAAUCUCUAAUAGUUGGAGGUAUGCCAACCGAGUUGCCAAUAUGAAUUAAGACUUUGUAGUAAGAAGCACCAGGGAUGAAAGCGAAUGACAAUGCUGGUUAUAUCAGAAAGGAAUAUUAUGGAUUAUAGAGAUCGUACGCUCUAGUUUUCUUUUUGAUGAUUCCGAGGACGGAAUCUUUUUAAGGGGGGUAGAUUGUGACGACCCGGAUUUUCAGAAAUUAUUUUAUUAUUUUUAUUCAUGAUUAUUCGAGACAAAUGAGGAAUAAAUUUCAAUAUUUUAUUCUAGUUUGAUAAUUUUCAAAAAUAUUUGUUUAAAUUAUUUUCCUAGUCAUUGUGAUUAUGAGAAAAUAUCUGUUGAUUGUACAAUUAUAUGUUACGAGAUUUAAUUGAAUUAGUUGUCUACUAUUAUGUCUGUGUGUGCAUUUAUUUUUACUUUUAAUAUUACUGUAUUGUUUUAUUGAAAUUUAUUAUCCUCUUAAAUGGAUAUUUAUUUUUGUAAAAAUACAAAGAUAAUUUCAAAAAUUAUUUUAAUUGCUCGAUAGUGAUCAUAAAUAUGUUUAGAAGUUUUUAAAAUAUUAAAAAUCCAAUUUCUACAAGGACAUGAUUUUUAAUUAGUUUCUAAACGCAGCUAACUUCUUAAUUUUGUAUAAAUUUUGAAAAUGCUCUAUAAAUCUUGAAACUUUUAUUUUAUGAGUUUUAUAAUAUUCGGUAAUUUAUAAAAUUAGUUUGUUAAUUUUUCGAGAAAGUUUUAAUGCGAGUUAUCCCGUAAAUCAACUAAAUAGCGGGUGUUUGGAUGAUUAUUCAGCUUAAAAUAAAACGUGGCAGCCUUUGGCCAAACCACGUGCCCUGCUUUUCACCACCGCCAUCCCUUUUCUUCAUUUUAUAUACAUCAGCCUCUCAAUCUCUCUCUCUCUCUCUCUGUGAAAUCCUCCAUCUCUCCCUCUCCGCUCCUCUUUCUUUUCUCACCCAUCUUCCUCUCUUUCUUGGCAUCACCGUCCCUUCCCUGCAGCCGCCGAAUUAUGCCGCUGCCACCUCUUUCCGGCGACCACCAUAGCCCUGCACCAAUUAUAAAUCAGUGGGUAUAAAGCUUAAUUUCUCUUUGUCAAAUCAGUUCUAUAUAAACGUAUAUAUACAUGUGGUGUUGUGUUUAUAUGGUUUAAUUUGAUUUAUAUAAUCGAUUUAUGUGUGCUUGUAUGUAUAUAAACUGAUUAUAUGCUGGUUAUUGAAAUUUGAAGGUUGAUUGAAUUUUUGAGAUUGAGAUUGGUGUUAGUAAUCGUAUGAUUGAAUUGUGUGCUUAAUUGAUAUUUGAAUUGGUUGUUGGAGGUUCAUUAUAAAUGGUGCGCCAACUAGUAGUGUAAUCGGAUGACUUGGGUACUUGAUUUAUGGGAAUAUAUAACUGAGUAUUAAAGCUUUAAGGUCUGAGAUUUUGUGUAAAUGUUUUCAGAAUGGUGUUUUAAGAGUUUAAGUAUUGAGCUAAAAAAAAUUUAGAUUUACACAUAAUCGGUUGAAUUGUAAGUUGCUGCUGAUCUGUUUUGCAGUAAAAUUCUGGGCUUCUAGAGUCGAAUUAUAUGCUUAAUAUUUUUGUGGUUAUGUGCUCCUCAGAGUCUAGUUUAUGUGCGCAAAAGAAUCGAAUCAAUUCGAUUAGCGAGCUAGGAGAUAUGACCGUUUUAGUAUAGUAUGGUGCUGAAAAUUCUGGGCAGGUUUGUCCUGUUCUAGGCUCUGUUUUACUGCUUUAAACUUGAAGUUUCUUUCUGAAAAUUUUACUGUAGGUUGGAAUAAUAUUCAGGAGUGUCUCAUAAAAAUUUUGUAUUUAAAAGAUAAAUUUUCAAUUUAUUAAAAAUCAUAGACCGAGGGCUGUUUGAACUAUUUGUUCUAGUUUUUCUUUCUUUGCUAGUGCAUAGUAUGAGGUUAUACUUGGCUAAUUGCAUAUGAUUGAUUAUUACAUUGAUUGGCUCGGUUAACCUUUAUAUCUAAUUAAACGUGCUUUGCGUAUAACAAAUUAGUAAUCCUGCUAAAAGAUUUUAUUAUAUGUUCACUACAAGUCAAGACAGAUUUUCUGUUCACUGCAAGCCAAGGGAUCUUUUUUUAUAUUAAUAAUUCAUGUGUUAGCAAUGGUAUUGGUUGGUUGUUGGUAUUGCAAACAGGUGGAUAGUCCGAUAAACAGAGGAGAUGAUGCCGAAUUUUCGUUAGGAAUUAUAUGUAUUUAAUGGCUAUAAAAAGGGGUUAUUUGUGCAAUUAUGUGUUAUGUGUUUAUCUGCCUAUGUGGUAUGUAUAUGCGAAGGGUAGAUAUAUAUAGGUCUUAAUACUUUUCAGAGUUAGUUAAUUUGUCUGAUCCGACGGUUAAAAUACUAUUUUACUAUCGUAUAGAAUUGAAGACAUUGACCGAGGCAUUGAUCGAGAAGUGAUUGAAAUGGGUAUCCAGAAUUAGCCAAGUAGUGUUGCAAGUUGAAGUAGGGCGGAGAUUUGUUAUAGAUAAAAGCUUGUCAGAAGCUGGCAGAAAGGAAUGAUAUGGCGG